GCAAGUUUAAGAUACCAGUGAUGAUUCUCUCUCUCCAGAUAACACUGCAGCUAUUUCUGCCUGGCACCAGCUCCAUACAUUUUACUUUGUAUCUUUUUACAGCCCCACCCUGACCACAUGACGCUGUGUGUGUGAGACAAAGAUUGUCCUAUAAAAUGGUGCUGCUUCCAUGUGGGUGAAAUCCUAAUUCUGCAAGUGCCACUGAUGGAUGCGGGUCAGGUGAAUCGCUACAUAAAACAGAACACAAAGCUAUCAGGCGGCCUCUAAGGACACGUUUGUGGGUUUCCCAAAGCGUCGCAGGGUUGAUUCCUGUUUUGUAGGCUGCAUUGGGUUUGCCUAUCGAUGUGUCCUGUAAAGGAUUUAUAGUGAUAUUCAUGUCACCCCCGAUGAGCAACAGGCCCUCCGUGAAUGUCUUCAACCGGGAUUCUAUUUCGACUAUCAGUACAUUGAAAAGCUCCACCCUGAUGUUAUCCACCGAUUCCCGCAGAAGGUUUUUAAUAUCCUCCUUCGUUGGUAAUGCUUUGAGAUGGGGAAAUCUUUCUGGGUGCGCCACAUCUUUCUGAUCUUAAGAAUAAGGGCAGGACUCCACAGACUUUCCCGCCACACUGCGCAAAAACACAGGCGUUACGUUGGAUGCAACGGA